AACGUAGGUGGCAAGCGUUAUCCGGAUUUACUGGGCGUAAAGCGUGUGCAGGCGGGGGGGCAAGUGGUGUAUGAAAUCGCCAGGCUAAACCUGGCGGGGUUAUGCCAGACUGUCCGUCUGGAGUGCGAGAGAGGGGCGUGGAAUUCCGGGUGUAGUGGUGAAAUGCGCAGAUAUCAGGAGGAACACCAGCGGCGAAGGCGGCGCUCUGGGCCGGUACUGACACUGAGGAGCGAAAGCGUGGGUAGCAAACAGG
rnacentral:rRNA from 1 species